rnacentral:rRNA from 1 species
UAGCAAUACGAUGGAAAGUCUAGUGGCGAACGGGUGCUUAACACGUGGGCAACCUGCCAGGAAGUGGGGGAUAGCUCGCCGAAAGGCGAAUUAAUACCGCAUGUGAUUAGAGAGGACAUCCUUUCGAAAUUAAAGUCGGGGCAACCUGACGCUUCUUGUGGGGCCCGCGGCCUAUCAGCUAGUUGGUGAGGUAACGGCUCACCAAGGCUUUGACGGGUAGCUGGUCUGAGAGGACGACCAGCCACACUGGGACUGAGACACGGCCCAGACACCUACGGGUGGCAGCAGUCGAGAAUUUUUGACAAUGGGGGAAACCCUGAUCGAGCGACGCCGCGUGGAGGAUGAAGGUCUUCGGAUUGUAAACUCCUGUCAUUGGGGAACAAGGUGCAUACGUUAACUGCGUGUGCAUUGAUAGUACCCGAAGAGGAAGAGACGGCUAACUCUGUGCCAGCAGCCGCGGUAAUACAGAGGUCUCAAGCGUUGUUCGGAUUCAUUGGGCGUAAAGGGUGCGUAGGCGGCGCGGUAAGUCGGGUGUGAAAUCUCGGAGCUUAACUCCGAAACUGCAUUCGAUACUGCCGUGCUUGAGGACUGGAGAGGAGACUGGAAUUCACGGUGUAGCA